GAUGAACGCUGGCGGCGUGCCUAAUACAUGCAAGUCGAGCGAACAGACGAAGAACUUUCUCCUUUCACUUUCGCGGCGGACGCGGGUGUAACAUGUGGAGAACCCACCUUGAUGGCUGGGGUAACUUCGGGAAACCGGUGCCAAUACCGGCAUAUCGAUUCAACCGCAUGGUUCAGUACUGUAGGACCUCUUUCCAUUCACUUAUACAAGGAUCCGGUCGGGAUUAGGUAGUGGGUAGGGUAACGUCUGACCUGGGCGAUGAUGCGUAGGCGAGCUGAGAGGAUGACCAGCGACACUGGAACUGAGACACGGUCCAGACUCCUACGGGAGGCAGCAGUGGGGAAUAUUGCACAAUGGGCGCAAGCCUGAUGCAGCCAUGCCGCGUGUAUGAAGAAGGCCUUCGGGUUGUAAAGUACUUUCAGCGGGGAGGAAGGGAGUAAAGUGAAUACCUUUACGCAUUGACGGGACCCGCAGAAGAAGCACCGGCUAACUCCGUG
rnacentral:rRNA from 1 species